rnacentral:rRNA from 1 species
UCGAGGGGGUAUAUAGUGCUUGCACUAUAGAGACCGGCGCACGGGUGCGUAACGCGUAUGCAAUCUACCUUAUACAGGGGAAUAGCCCAGGGAAACUUGGAUUAAUGCCCCAUAGUAUCAUUAAGUAGCAUUACUUGAUGUUUAAAGUAUUUAUCGGUAUAAGAUGAGCAUGCGUCCCCAUUAGUUAGUUGGUAAGGUAACGGCUUACCAAGACAGCGAUGGGGUACGGGGCCCCGUGAGGAGGGGGAGUCCCCCACACUGGUACUGAGACACGGACCAGACUCC